GCCGGCCACAGUGGCGCAUGCCUGUAGUCCCAGCUACUCAGGAGGUUGAAGCUGGAGGAUGGCUUAAGUCCAGGAGUUCUGGGCUGUAGUGCGCUAUGCCAAUCAGAUGUCCACACUAAGUUUGGCAUCAAUAUGGUGACCUCCUGGGAGCGGGGACCACCAGGUUGCCUAAGGAGGGGUAAACCGGCCCAGGUUGGAAACAGAGCAGGUCAAAACUCCUGUGCUGAUCAGUAGUGGGAUUGCGCCUGAAUAGCCACUGCACUCCAGCCUGGGCAACAUAGUGAGACCCCAUCUCU
rnacentral:SRP_RNA from 1 species